UACGAAGGUCCCAAGCGUUGUUCGGAAUUACUGGGCGUAAAGCGUGUGUAGGCGGCAGGGUAAGUCAGAUGUGAAAUCCCGGGGCUCAACCCCGGAACGGCAUCCGAUACUGCCUUGCUUGAGUAGUGGAGGGGAGCCUGGAAUUCACGGUGUAGCAGUGAAAUGCGUGGAUAUCGUGAGGAACACUCGUGGCGAAGGCGAGGCUCUGGACACUUACUGACGCUGAGACACGAAGGCCAGGGGAGCAAAAAGG
rnacentral:rRNA from 1 species